AGCUCGCUAGCUCGCUCUGUGACUCAUACGAGUCGGCCGGAGAGCUACGCACACACAUGGUCAGUUCAUGCUCCGGCUACGGUAGAGUCACGGAGACAGCAGGCGGGAAGGAAGACCCAGCGCGUGCUGGAGAUGUUAUUGUUGUUAUGUGACUCCCACACGAGAGCGCUGCAGUAGGGGGGGGGCACUGUACAACAGGGUGACAUUGCCGGACUCUGUGCAACUUUCAGUACGAGAGUGGACACGCAGACGCAUGGAGCUGUGGGACAAACUCGAGUUUACUGUGUGACGAUGCUUUCUGACCCUCCUGUACGUUCAACAACCCCAAAGAAUUGUGUCGGAUGGCGGCAAGGCAAGAACACGAGCGCCCACGCCAGAUGAACGACAAAAUCGACACAUGAAGAUCGGGAAGGAAACGCAGGUGUCUGCAAUCCCGCCAGAAGGACCACUUCAGCCAUGACAUACGUGUUGGGUGCCGUGUGGUGUCUUCCAGCUACAGCGACAGACCGACCUGCUGACGGGAGAGCUGCAGCAGCAAGAAGCACAAGUCGCGGGCGGCGAUGUGUACCAACCGUGGACGGUCUCACUUAAUGAAUUACAUAAACCUGGCCUUAUUUAAAGGACAAUAUGCGUUACGCAGCCACCGAUGUCUUUAUAUAGUUCAAGUCCAUCUUAUAAUUACUUGUCUGCACUUAACGAAAUCAUUACUUUAUUCAUCAUGAAAUGAGACCGUAACGAAAUAGUAAUACAUCAACUGUUCACGUCAAAUAAAAGAACGACGACCGUCGGUUUGCAUGUAAAUUAGGCCUGUCAUUAUUGUCGACUUUACAUUUGCUUCUUGGGAAGAAACGUCGACGGAAGAACGAGUUUAAAACGGUUCGUACACACACAGAAAUAUUAUUCUGUGUCUUAAAACAUAACGGAAGUAGUAGAUUCUAAAGGGUUCUGACGAUGGUGUAUAACGGACUUCUUCCUUCUGCCGGUAUUCCAAAAACUGGAGAACACAAGGUUUCGGAAACCGGGCCUGUCUCAGUCCUCAGGUGAUACGGGAGACACCUACUCUGUUGGGUUCCUUAGAAAAGGCUAACCAGUGAUUGAGGUUGGCUCUUUCUGAGGGAUUCAA